GUCAGAAAAGUCUGAUAAUUAUUGAUGAACUUUUACAUUUGGAGUCCUGUAGCUUCUUAUGGGGUAAGAUAACUUAUUCAUUCAUUCAUUUUCUUAGCCGCUUUGUCCCUUUUGGGGUCGCGGGGUGCUGGGGCCUAACCCGGCUACUGAUGGGCAAAGGCAGGCUUUUACCCUAGACAGAUCGUCAGUCUGUCGCAGGGCCUCAAUCACACACACAUUCACUCUCACAUUCACACCUAGGGACAAUUUAGAGUCACCAACCCAUGAAGCAUGUUUUUGGCCACUUUUUUAUUUAUUUUUUAUUUUUAUUUUGCCAGGCGACAACAGUGGAUCAUACAGACAAUUAAACGGACCCUGGAAGUGGUGGCAAAAGAGAGGUGUUAAUAUGAGAAUCACCCCAGCAGACAGUGGAGGGAUCCCCCUCUUUCUGCUGCUGCCAUUCUGCUGUCUGCCCUCUGGUGACGGUGUUUUGCCAAGGUGAAUGCAGCACCCGACCGCUGCCGAGGAGGAAAGUCGUCACAUUGAGGGUUUUCAGCCUCAUGUCAGCAGAGGAGACACUAAAGCUGCCGCUGAAGAGGAAAAUGGAGGAUAUUAAAUGGGCGACUUGGAUGAUUCACGUGUGAAAGGUUUAGAAUGUGCACCUUGAAGAAUUUCAGAAACUCUACUGUAUACAUUAAAGCACGUGCAUGUGGGUGUACUAAAGAUUAAAAAUGAGAAAAAAAAAUCAUGGCAGUGUAAAAAGACCUUUUAAUUCCAAAAAUGACUAUUUGAAGAAGUCAAGGAGAAAAAAUAUUUUCAGGAUUCUUCUGAACCAAAGCAUUCAUAUCUGCAGGUGUUAAUAGUUUCCUAAGCAGUUCUCUGUCAUGCAGAACUUACAGUUUACAGAGCUGUGACUUUCACGAUUUUAAAUAAACUGGGUUUUUUUUCUGAAACUACUUUCAAACACACACAAAAUAAAACACACACACAGUACCAUACUACAUCCCUUCAAAGGUCCAAAAUCAGAAAACAAGUUGCAUUGUGAUUUGAUAAAGUCCCUCUCUAGUCCAUAAACUCAACAACUCCACCCAUCCAUGUUCUUAACCGGGUUUAUACCUUUUGGGGGUCACAGGGUUACCUGAGCCUUUCCCAGCUAUGGGUGAAGGCAAGACACAAUCACUGCCAUACAGACUCACACAUUUACACCUAGGGACAUUUAAAGUAACCAGUUAACCAAUGAAGCAUGUUUUUGGACAGUAGGAGGAAGCUGGAGUGCUCGAAAAAAAUAAAUAAAUAAAUAAA